GGGGGGGGGGGGGGGGGGGGGGGGGGGGGGGGGGGGGGGGGGGGGGGGCGGGGGUGUGUGGGGGGCUCGAGUGGCGGACGGGGGAGUAACACGUGGGUAACCUGCCCUUGACUUUGGGAGAACUUCAGGAAACUGGGGCUAAUCCCGGAUAGGAGCUCCUGCUGCGUGGUGGGGGGUGGAAAGUUUCGGCGGUUGGGGAGGGACUCGCGGCUUAUCAGCUUGUUGGUGGGGUAGUGGCUUACCAAGGCUUUGACGGGUAGCCGGCCUGAGAGGGUGACCGGCCACAUUGGGACUGAGAUACGGCCCAGACUCCUACGGGAGGCAGCAGUGGGGAAUAUUGCACAAUGGGCGGAAGCCUGAUGCAGCAACGCCGCGUGCGGGAUGACGGCCUUCGGGUUGUAAACCGCUUUCGCCUGUGACGAAGCGUGAGUGACGGUAAUGGGUAAAGAAGCACCGGCUAACUACGUG
rnacentral:rRNA from 1 species